CAGAAAUGUGUUCGUAAGACAUAAGUUUGUCUUAUAAGCUUAAGUACCAUGACUUUAUUACACAAGAACAGACAAGCAUUUUAAUGAUAUUGCAAUACAAUAUUGGCAAUCUUCCACAUUCUAACCAAGUGUCAUGAAAUAGAUCUAAGCUUUGUCAGUGGGGAACAAUGCCAUAAACAUGGGCCUGCACUCCAUCCUAGAACACUUGAAAAUGCAGAACCGAAUGUAAUAGCUUAAAAGCAUAGGCUUAACUAACUAUGUUGAGGAAGGGAAUGGGAGUGUUAUCCCUUCCUUCUAGCCACAACCAAAGCCCUGAAGGAUGCAUUUCCUGCACUAACAAUUGUCCAGGCGUCAUUACAUACAUACUGAUAAGUCAUUACACACAUACUGAUACAUCACUGUGAAAUAUGCAUUGCAAACAAUGUAAUCCGGACCCAAAAGCAUUCCAUACUGUUGCAUUUUAGCUCUGCAUUUCAAAGACUAGUAAACAUGACCAUCAUUUGAGUUGGAUUUCCUAACUCCGUGAACAGUUCAGCCGAUGUGGCUGUAUUUUCCCAUUGCCUUGUUUGAUUUACAGGGUUAGGGGUUAGCUGUACUAUACGCAGCUACUGAUGAUUUUACCCAGGAUAUCCUCAACUAACCUUUCUUGUCCUUGGCCAGAUUCAUUACCCAGUCUAGUGGGUGGCAGUCUGUGUCUCUAACCCCUACACUAUUUAACAAUGGGGGAGUCAGUCACUCACUCAGUCAGAGACAUUCACUCUUCAUGGCCGGCACCGCUUACACGUUCCUGCAGAAAUGUGUUCGUAAGACAUAAGUUUGUCUUAUAAGCUUAAGUACCAUGACUUUAUUACACAAGAACAGACAAGCAUUUUAAUGAUAUUGCAAUACAAUAUUGGCAAUCUUCCACAUUCUAACCAAGUGUCAUGAAAUAGAUCUAAGCUUUGUCAGUGGGGAACAAUGCCAUAAACAUGGGCCUGCACUCCAUCCUAGAACACUUGAAAAUGCAGAACCGAAUGUAAUAGCUUAAAAGCAUAGGCUUAACUAACUAUGUUGAGGAAGGGAAUGGGAGUGUUAUCCCUUCCUUCUAGCCACAACCAAAGCCCUGAAGGAUGCAUUUCCUGCACUAACAAUUGUCCAGGCGUCAUUACAUACAUACUGAUAAGUCAUUACACACAUACUGAUACAUCACUGUGAAAUAUGCAAAACAUGUGUCUAAUGGCUACUCGGCAUCAAAACAGUCAUUUCUACCCUGCGGGCUGGCUGAACUGGGCCUGCUUAGUUUUUAUUUCAGGUUUCUUUCAAUGUUUAGAUUCAGUUUUUCCAUUUUCUUUGAGUCUGUCCCCUACAAGCAGGGCCGGCUCCAGGCAUAAGUGACAUAUGCAGUUGCUUAGGGCCCCCGACCACUAGGAUGCCCCCGACUGCUAGGGAGCCCCCGACUGAUUGAGGAGAGGGGGACCCAAAUUAAAUUUUGCUCAGGACCCCCACAAAGAAGCUAGAGCCGGCAAUGCCUACAAGCCUACUGGUACAGUGUUGGGAAUCUAACCCUAGUAGCCCAUCUUCUAACCUCUCUAUACAUUGACCAGGCUAUAUAUGUAUCCCAGCUUUUUUGGUCUUUGCAAGUAGAUAAUUGUAUGCUUGUAACCUGGACACGGCAUGUUAUUCUCUCUGGGGCAGCUGACUGUUUAGACAUAAUGGUGGGUCUGGGGAAUCCAAAAUACUUUGCUAUUGUUCAUGCUCCAAAACAGGUAUACACAGAUAAGCCAGAACCUGACCACCUGCCUAAUAUGCUGUUCGUCCUGCUUGUGCCACCAAAACAGCACCAACCCUCAAAGGCAUGGACUCUACAUUACCACUGAAGUUGUCCUGUGGUACAGUAUCUGGCGCUAAGACAUUAGCAGCAGAUCCUUCAAGUCCUGUAAGUUGUGAGGUGGAGCUGCCGUGGAUUGGACUUGCUGGUCCAGCACAUCCCCCAGAUGUUCAAUUGGAUUGAACUGUCCAUCAUGUUCCUGAAACCAUUCCUGAACAGUGUGUGCAGUUUGGCAGGGUGCAUUAUCCUGCUGAAAGAGGCCACCGCGGCUCUGCAACCCCAUACGCAUCAGGGUGCGAUGCACUGUGUGUUGUGACACAUUCCUCCCAUAACCACCAUUAAUAUGUGACUUGGGCCACGGUUCGGACCAGACGGGAUAGCCUCUGUUGCCCUUGCACAUUGAUGAUUCUUGGGCACCCAAUACCCUGUCGCUGGUUUCUGGCUUGUCCCUCCUCGGACCAGUGUCGGUGGGUACUCACCACUGCAGACCGGGGGAACCACACAAUCCAUGCCAUUUCAGAGAUGCUCUGACGCAGUUGUCUGGCCUUAACAAUUUGGCCCUUGUCAAAGUCGCUCCUCCUGCCUGUUAGUCUUUUCUCCUGCCCGUUUUUCCUGCAUUUAACACGUUGACUACACUGCAAAACAUUUCUUUAAAAAAUAGGAAAACUUAAACUUAACUAUGUCUGAGGAGAUAAAUGACUGAAAUAAUCUGCCAAUGGAACAAAGCAAAUUGAUAUCCAAGGCAUAUUUUCUAAUACCAAGCAAUAUUAUCUAACACAACUUCAGCUUGUUCAAAAACAUUUACCUUAUUUUAAGGAUGGUUAGAUUUUUUUAACCCGACAACAAGAUAAAUAUAUUUCUUAAGACAUUUUUUUUUGCAGUGUACGAGAAUUGAUUGAUCACUUGCCAUCUAAUCUACCAAGACCUUGACAUGUGCCCUUGUUAGGAGAUGAUCAAUGUCAUUUGCUUCACCUGUGAGUGCUCGUAAUGUUUUGGCUCAUCAGCGUAUAACGCUCGCCCUUUCCUUUACACUCAGUGACUGACUAAACAAGUGGGACUAAUGACUCCCUUCUAUAGAGUAGCACUUAUGAAACAGACCGUGCCCCAUAUGUAACAUGUAUGUGUAUUCCACCACUACUCACCCGCCGCAAUAUGUGCUGUGUUUAUAUGCGCUGUGUGAGUGUAUGCAUUCUGUUUAUAGCACCACCACUUAUGAUCUAGAGCUAUGCAGUCUGUGUGUGUGUGUUUGUAUGAACAUCUGUGACAGUACAGUAUAUACCAGAAUAUAGGUGGGGUUGAAUGUUGGGGUUGGGGGGGCAUUCACAUCACUUAAACAUAGAUCUCCAAUAUAACAGACAUGUCUUUCCUAUACAACGUGUCACACUCCCUGCAUGUAUGAGGCUGGAGCCAUCCAUUAUCUCUGCGCAGAAAUGGGCUAAAAUCAUAUUUUCACUGGGCUUGACUGAACUUGCCGUCAUGGAACUAGUGGAAUAAUCACAAGUGUCGACCCCAUCCAUCUAAAGCAGAUUUUAAACACAUUCCUAAACUAUUGUAAAUAUAUCAAAUACUAUUUAAAACCAGGUCUGUACAAAAUAGCAAGCCCCUGCUUUGGAGAGCAGGGCGAUAUGAUGCAUUAACCAGGGUUAGCCUUUGCAGCUGGAGUAUAAAACAGGUGUUAGCUGCCAGUGUGCGUGUGCGUGUGUGUGUGUGCGUUUGUGUGCGUGUGUGUGCGCGUUUGUGUGCGUGUGGGUGGCUGUGCGUAAUUCAGCUCUGUGUGUUCAUGUGGAAAAGAUACUAAAAGAUAGUAAAAACUGAACAAUUACUUACCACAAAGAUUAUUUUUGGCAGGUAUGUGAUUUCUGGCUCAGGGCUUAGGUUUCAGGAAAAACAUGCAAUUGAGCAUAGUGUUAACACUGGGUUUGAUUUGAGGUUUAUGCAUCACUGGUUAUGUUCAAGUGAUAGGGAGCUAUGUUAGGUUUAGUUCAAGGUUAGGAUAAGGGUUCAUUUUAGGACUAGGAACCAUGAAUAUCUGGUCAGGUUUUGGUCUUAGGUCCCCACAAGGAUAGAAAGAAAAAGCUGUGUGUGUGCGUGUGUCUCUUUUUCUGUGUGUACGUUAUACUACAUUGGUCGGGACCAUACACCCCAGCAAGGAUUGCAAAACAAGAAAAAUGCUACCUCAUGUUGAAAGUCCCCCUGAGAACAAAGAAUAUUUUCAGCUUAGGUUAGAAUUGGGGUUAGAGUUAGAAUUAGGGUUUAGUGGUUAGCGAGAAUCUGAUUUUUGAAUUGGAAUAACUGUUGGGUUACCCAUAAGGAUAGUAAAGCCUAAAAUAUGUGUGUGUGUGAGUGUGUGUGUGUAAUGUGGGUCCCAGUGGAGAAGAGUCUAUCGAUGUCAGCUUAAUCAGUCAGCCACAACCUAAGCAAAACGUCAAGUAGACGGAGGGUUCAGGCAAUCUCCCUCACAGUGGCUGGUUACGGGAUUGGAUGUAUGGAAGAGAAAUGGACAUACUCUUGACUUGCUUUUAGCCGUGUGUAUGCACACGCUGACCUAGGCACCUGCUCAGUGUUAGGUUAGGUGUGACCAAGUGUGCAUCCUCUACACAUCACAGUGCACUACUUAAGGCUAUUAGCCUUACAGGGCUCUGGUCAAAAGUAGUGAACUAUAAAGGGAGUAGGAUGCCCUUUGGGAUGUAACCCAUGUGUCAAAAUAUACAGGGGUUGCAGCCUGGCUGUAAGUAGUUGAGCUUUACAGCCUGCUGCAGGCCUAUGCAUGGUUUUUAUUGUGCUUACAUUGGGGAUCUGUAAGACGUGGUGUAGGCUAGCUGAGCGAAUUACACUCUUAGUAAUGUAAUGCUAACGUCAUAUGGUACGCUAACUCACUAUCUCUGCCCCCUCUCCUCUGUUGCUGCCACAAAGAUAGGCUAAUCCAUCCACACUGGUGGCUAUUAUGACAUUCCUGUGUUCAGUGUUGAAUGAAGAGCGACCACAAGAACAUGGGUAAAGGGCAGCGUGGGUCGUGAGAAUGGACUAAUCUUAUCUUAUUGCCUCUCACUUCACUUUUUUAAGAGAAUAAUCUUCUCCACUGCCAUCUCCCCUUUUACGACCAUGACAUGAUAUGCACACCUCUCUUUAUCCCCUAUGUCUCUCUCUCUUCCUUUCACGCUGCCUCUCUUUUCCCAACCAUAGUCUCUUAUCUACUUUCUUUCUUAAAAUCUAUCAUCACUCUCUCUCGUUCCCUCUCUCUCCCAUCCCUCUCAGCUAUAUAGAGUUCCUUUUCCACAGCUCCAUUCAGUGGGUUCCUCCAGUCUAAAGGAUCUGUCUUCUUGGCACAGAUGCCCUGUCUCUGCUCCAAAUCAAGCCCUAUUUCCUUUGCAGUGCACUACAUUUAACUAGAGCCCAUAUGGGUUCUUGACAAAAGUACUGAACUACAUAGGGAAUAGGGUGUCAUUUGGGAUACUAGCCCUGACUGAACUCCGGAGGUGACAUCAUCGCCCAGCACCAUGUGACCUGCUGUGGGCAAACCUUCCCAUGCUGGUUCACACCAGGAUUACAGUUCAACUCUCUCUCUCACCAUCUCUCUUUCUCACACCCUCUCUCCAUCUCCAGAUCUCUUCUAGAGAGACAAGUCCUAGUUCAACCUAAUUUCUUUAUGGUUAUAUUACUGUUCCUGUAAACACAGAGCUAUAAUGUAGACUAUUGAAUAGUUCACCUUUCCGUGUGCACGUGUGUUUGUGUGUGUGUGUGUGUGUGUGUGUGUGUGUGCGUGUGUGUGUACAUGUGGAUCACAUGAGAUUAAGGCCUAUAUUAGAAAGUUUGUCCAGGUGGGGAAAACUCUCCACUAGGGGUGUGGGUUUCAAUGGACUGCCCACUAAGCGGUUAAGGUACAAUUCUGGAGACAAUGGUUUAAGGUCUAAAUCCUCUUAGUGAGGGCUCUGGCUGCAUUCCAUAUCCCCUAUAUAUUGACCAGCUGGUCAAAGGUAGUGCACUAAAUUAGGAAUAGUAUGACACUUGGGAUGCCUCUUGUGUAUGUACCAAGAACUGAGACGAGGCAUUCUGAUCCUGUUUAUUUUCCAGGCGUAAAGCUAGCAGGUUUCAGGAACUGAGAGCUCUGGUCAGAGGGCUGUGCUGUUGGAGGAUAGAGGUGCUCUGGUCAGAGGGCUGUGCUGUGGGAGGAUAGAGGUGCUCUGGUCAGAGGGCUGUGCUGUGGGAGGAUAGAGGUGCUCUGGUCAGAGGGCUGUCCUGUGGGAGGAUAGAGGUGCUCUGGUCAGAGGGCUGUGCUGUGGGAGGAUAGAGGUGCUCUGGUCAGAGGGCUGUGCUGUGGGAGGAUAGAGGUGCUCUGGUCAGAGGGCUGUGCUGUGGGAGGAUAGAGGUGCUCUGGUCAGAGGGCGGUGCUGUGGGAGGAUAGAGGUGCUCUGGUCAGAGGGCUGUGCUGUGGGAGGAUAUAGGUGCUCGGGUCAGAGGGCUGUGCUGUGGGAGGAUAGAGGUGCUCUGCAGCGUGGCAGAGUCAUGGUGUACCAUGUUGAACUGUGACCUUUGCACUAGAGGCGUCCCGGCCUUGUGGUCUCUGUGGCACUUGGUUGGUUGUUAUUUAUGUCAGGACGGGAAUGGGAAACUGAUCCUCUUAACAGGCUGGAAUUGGCCCGUAUUCAGGAAGGUGUCACUGUCACAAUCGUACCUGGGGUUGGGAACCUGCAGAGAGAGAGAGAGAGAGGGAGGCGUGGGGGGCGGGAGAGAGAAAUGCCUGAACUUAAUAUGGCUUUGUUGUUUUGAAAAAUUACAGUACUCUGUGUAUUAUUGAAUUUUAGAGUAGGAGAUGGAUACAAGCAGAUUAGCAGGUAGGGUUUCAGAAUAGGACAAUAAAUUAAGAUACUAUAGCGGACUGCACAGUACAAUGCUUUACUACAGUAUCUAAUGGACUGGAUUGGUUUUUCAGCCCUCAGUGACGGGAACCAUUUAGAUUCAUGUAUGAUAACCAAUCAUAUUUAGUCCCUGGGUGCUGCUGGUUAGUCCUUGUUCUGCUGUAGCAAACUGGACUGACCAAUAAUCAUGGGUCUCCCAAAUGACAAACUAUUCCCUUCAUUAUGUGCUACUUUUGACACCCAGAGAGAACAGGUACAUCCCAACAAACCUCUCUGCUCCAGCCUUGUUCUCUCCACUCCUUCUCUGUCCAUCUCUACAUGCCCACAACUAAACCAGUAUUCUUAACUAAUCCACAGUCAGUUUCAAAAUUGUUGUCUGAAGAUUUUUUGGAACCUCCUCUCCCUCUUGCUCCCUCUCUACUCUCUUGCUUCCAGAUGUUUCUAUAACCACGUGUUAACUAUAAAAAGAGAAGCAGCCAGGCCAAGAUAACACUCAUUCAAUUGAUUUAUCGGAAGCAAAUACUAUCACUCUGUUUUAUUUUAAAGAGGAGUCCUCCAUUUCCCCAAAACCAAUCAAUAACGAAUGGUUCGUUUUAUUGGGCAUGUACAAUGAAUGUGUAAUAAAUCUCAGUUGAAGUUGACACAACAUUGACAAAACGUCUGUAAAAUAGAGAAUGGCUCGUAUUACAAUGUCAUUGUAAUGCAGUACCAGCCUGUAUCCGCACCAUAAAACCCACAUGAAUCCACAUCAGAGACAAUAUGGUUUACUGCAUCUAUACAAGAUGGUGUUCAACCCUGGGAAUUCAGAUACUGUCCAGGGAAACGUAACACACGGUACAUCACCAACUUAUUUUCCUAGAAAGCAAAAGAACAUACGAAGAAGAAAAGAACACACAGCAAAACGUUGUAAAAAAACUGUAAAAAUAAAACCCACAAAUAGAGAGUGGUUUAGAGCUAAAGUAACGAAAGGAAGGAAGGCUUGGACGCAUUCGCGACUUCCUGUUUGACGUCCCGCACUGCAACCCCAGGGCUGCUCGGUGCCGUCGUUGUGGCGCAGCACCUCGUGAGGAGGGAGUGCUAGAGUGCACCGCCCUCUAUGAAAUCUUAUAUCACCCCUGAAAAUACCCCUCUGGUAUCCCUGCGGCGGGGUUCAACUCCCGCAGUAAUGUGUCCAUGGUCUUCUAACUUAGGUCCAUACCAACUAACCCAUGUAGAACCCAAGUUACCAGACCAUCAGAGAGAAAUGUGGUCCCAGCACCAUGCGGCUAGACCAAGAGUUAAAUCUGUCUCUGCUGUGGCUGGGACCAGAACAGACCCCUGUAGUGCUACUUAUUAGGUUGACGUGAUGUGGAGUCACUAAGUCACUGAGUCAGAGCUGGAUCGGGCCGGGUCCCUGACAUGAUUGACGGUGUCUGUCUGUUCUGUCAGCACCCCCGCUGAGUUAGGGAGCUGCACAUGAUUUUCCUCAAAACCGAUUUCCCUCAAAACCAAACAGCUGGCAGCAGAUGCGAAUGGCUUGUGUGGGAGGAUUAUUUACGUGUUUCCCCAUAAAGCGAGGUCAGCGGCGGAUGCCAGAAUCACAUCUCAGUUAUUACCAUGGUGGGUUGGUCACCACGAGCCAAGAAAGCCAUGACUUGCGAUAAACACAAAAGUAAUUACAAUUUAAGGAGGCCUCUGUGUUGUUCCAAGCAACAAACGCACGAUACAGGCGGUGUGAAACGACAGCAUUUGGGUUCCACGUCAAUCUGUGUGUCUCCAGAGUUCAAUGUGUAUAUGCACCUGCAUGUGUCUUUGCAUAGCGUGUGUGCAUCCGGAGGAGUUUGGGUCGUAACUGUCCUCCUCACCUUGUCCGCGUUUAUGUUCUAUGGAAAACUUUCAGGUUGCAUCCCAAACGGCAGCCUAUUCCCUCUUGAAGACGUGAAGAGACUCUCUCUCAGUGCUUUCAUGACAUAGCAAAAUACACUUCUGGGUCAAAGAGUUCAAAGCUGAGAGCAAGCCAACUAACCCUGUCGCAAUGCCAAACAUCACAGGCUGUAAAACUGGAUAAAGGAUCUCCUUUCAUCUGAGCCGCAUUGGGCUUUCUUUACACGUAUAAAAAAAAAUAUCUCAGUUUACUAUAGUAUUCUGUAGUAAACUAUAAUUGCUAAAACAGCUGGUCAAACUAGCAAAAUGUGACAGAAUAUCACCAUUUGCGUCACAACGAAAUUUCAUUAACAUUUAUGUUCAUCACUCACCAUGUUAGGCCGUCAGAUGCUCCCCAAAAUAUGUCUUUGCAAAAACAAAUCAAUGAUAGUUAACUUGCUAACUCUUUCAUCAUUGGAACUGCAUUCACAGUAUCCAAUUUUGGUUUUUGUGUGGUAGUUGGUCAACAUUUCUGUAUAUUUGCACCAAGUAGAUUCUGUGCAUGAAAAUGUCCAAUAACUGUUCUAGCUAAUUGGAAAAUGAACUGCCAUUUUAGAAUACACUUUGGACGAAUUAAUGAAAGCUCCUCCACAAUUCUGUGGUACAACACAUCAUGGUAUUGUUCAAUCGUGUGAUGUACUUAAAUUACAGAAUUGUGCAGAAUACUUUAUAAUAUUAUAUUACACACUGCAGUAUCCCUUCAUCAUGUAGUGCUAGAACAUAGUAGUAUAUUGGAGAAUACUAUACUACAAACUGUGUUGAGGUAUAGGAUUUCCUGUGCAUUUGUCUCACCCCUCCUCCCCCAGUCUUUAUGACUAGACACUGUAAAGAGGGGUAGAAAGUUGCAACCAGGCUGGUAGCAAGGGGGAGCAAAACAGUUGAAAUUUCAGUGCAUUCAGUUUUACGUCCCAGUAUAAAAACAGAGAAGUUCAAAUCAUUUUUGGUGUAAAAUAUGUCAGCACAAUGGAAGAAGCCUUUGGAUUUGCGUAGUAUGGCAAAACAAAUGCUGCAUCUUUAACCAUAGUCUGUAAUAUUAGAUUUUUUAGGGCAGAAUCUAGUGAUGAAGCUGCUUCACUAAACUCAGUCUUACGUGCCUCCACAAAAGAGGUUACAUCCUAGCUUUCACUGUUAAACAUUAAUAAUAGUCAUCGGCCAUAGCCAAUUAUCCCGAACCAGCUAAUUUCUCACCACAAAAAUAGAUAUCAGAAAUUGGCAUUGCCGAAGUACCUUCAGUAUACAAAGGAGUAGGUGGGCAAGCAGUUGCAGCAGCGUUUAAACCGCUGAGGCAGAGCCCCGCCACAGCGAUAAGGCUGCCUUGUUCCAGCUAGCUCCGUAUGGAUUCUAUCUCCUGUUCCACAAGCGCAGCCAGGAGAAUGGCUCCACAGCUCCCCCAACCUCAGACUGUUCCCGGUGAUCUUAAAACAGAGGCACUAGCCUAAGUUAGCCUAGAUUUCUAUCUCAUAGCAGUCGGUUCAAAGCGCUUCUAUUGCUUCAUUGAUCACAUGAGAGUCAGAUCCACAGAUAUAUAUGGUUCCGUAUCAUAAUGUUGCUGAAUCUUCUGAGGGUCUGAUCUUCCACAUUUGAAGCAGGACUAUGGAUUGAAAUAGCAUGAUUCAUAAUCCCUGAAAAACCUUUCGGCACAACUGGAAGAGCAUCUCUUUGCAUGGUUGCACCCGUCAAUACUUCCAUGGGGGACAUGUAGAGUGGAAUUUCAAUACCUUCGGUUCAGUGUAGGCUUACCCCACCUCAGUGUUUUGAUGGCUAUGGAAAUACCUAUAGGACAAGUGGACUUCCAUCAAUGUUUGCUUAAUAUUAGCAGAGCUGUUCUGCCUGAAUGAAACACAGACUAUAUUUGAAGCCAUUCCAAAAUCAAUAUCACAUUUUAGAGUUUUUGGGGGAUGAUAAGGCAUUCAUUAUUAAGGUGAUAAGCCUGGUAUUUGGUAAGACUGUUGUCCAUGGCUGCAUCUCACUUCUUCAGGCCAUUACAUAGUGGUUAUUUGGAUGUUACUGUUUCGUUUGUUUAGUGUUAACCUAGCCUUUAGUCUCCUUUUGCAUAUUUGUGGCCUUUUUGUCUGCUUGAAUGAGUCUGGUCAUUCUCCUCUGACCUCUCUCACUAACAACUGCCCACACAACUGCAGCUAUUUGGAUGUUUGUUGUUUAUCACCCAAUUUUCUUUAAAGUAAAGCAAUUGCAGUGAGUGAAAAUCCCAGGAGGUCAGCCAUUUGUAAGAUGCUUGAACAACUACGUCUGGCACCAACAAUCACACAACGGUCAAAGACGCUUAGAUUCCUUUCCAAAAAAGUUCUCUUAAUUUUAACCCUUCUUUUCCACACUGAAAACCUACCUUUUCGACUUUUUUGGAAAGGAAAGAAAAAGAUGCUGUGGUCUCUUAAUUUUUUGUAUGUUGAGUUGCAGCCCCAUGAUUUGCUGUUUGGCUAUUGGUGUUAACACACAAUAGUACAUAAUAAAGUGACUGGUGAGACUAGCUGUGGUAUAAUUGUACUGUUCUGUUUUGUUAUUUUCUAAAUUAUUCUUCAGCAUCUAAACUGCUAUUCAGAAUUUCUGUCUGUGUGAAUUUACCCCACUUUCAGUGUUUUGUUCAAUUGUUCUGGUAAGCCAACUCUGCCUAUAGCUGCAUUAACAUUGUUUGAAAUUAGUAAAUGACUCUUUGUUUGCUGUCCUUGGUGUGUUGUUAUGAUGGGGCUACACAUUUCAGGACACAUUUUCACCUCAAAUGUAUUCAGUGGUCUCAGCAUUUGAACUUCAGUAGAGUGACAAUAAGCAGAAUUCAAUGCAAUUCCAAUGCUAGAACUGAAAAUAAUGUGACCCCAUGCUGAUUUGAACUGCCCUCUCCGUUCAUCCAGCAGCCAUGCCUGGUUGCAGCCCUGAACUGACACUUACAAGUCUCAAGUUUCUUUCUCACAAAACAGCAGAAGAGCUGAACUUUUAACCCUUCAGUCCAUACAGUAGUCCUGUUUUCUAACAGGUUUUGGAACACAUGUUCUUUUAGGAUUGCUUUUCCAGACUCAGAUUAAAAAUAACCCCUACUGAGAUUUUCCACUGAGCCUGAUCUUUUGACAGGGCUAGACUGAAUCUGAAGUCAGGUGUCUGCGUUGCCUUCAGAACAACCUGAAUGUUUUGUUUUCUGGAUUCUACAAGGUUGGGAAAUGCUCCACAGGGAUGCUGAUACACAUCACUGACAUGACCGUGUUACACCGUUGCUGGAAGUUGGACGUCAGAAUAUUCAUAAAAGCUCUAUUUGCUUUAAGUCUGGUGACUGCGCAGGCUAUUGAAGUUAACUGAACUUGUUGUCAUGUUCCUGAAACCUUCUGAAGCAACACAAACAUUGUGACAUGUGCCACAUAUUCUCAAUGUAUCCACGUGGCACUGGGUAAACUGUGGCCAUGAAGGGUUUCACCAAGUCAGACAAACCGGCACUAAAAUGUUGCUCAAUUUGUAUCAAGGGACCUACAAUAUGCCAAGAAAACAUUCCCCACACAUUACACCAUCACCAGUACCGAUGACACCAGGCAAAAUGGAUCCGUGGUCUCAUGCUGCUAACGCCAAAUCCUGAAUCACCAACAGGAACUGGGAUUCAUCAAACCAAAGCAAUGCUUUUCCAAUCCUCAACUUUCAAGUGUAUGCGAUCACCUCCCUACUACAUCUGCUUCUUCUGCUGUUAGCCGAUAGGAGUGGACCUGGUGUGGUUGUCUGUUGCAGUAGCCCAUCAGCACCAAAGAACAUUCACGUCCUGGCAUGGCAGGUUGCCAGCUACUAGUGAGAUGCAAUGCCCUCUCUUCCUCACUUGGAUCAUGGACACCACUUUUGCUGUUUAUUGCCCUAACCUAUUUCCCUAAUUGCUGUCCCUAUUUAAGUUUCUCUUUUCCUAGUGUGUCUUGUCGGUCUUUGUUUUGGUUUCAUCCAUUUGUAAUGUUGUUCUUCCUCUGGGAUUUUGUAUUUGUUUGGUACAUUUGCGUUACUUUAUUAAAGGUCUUCCGUUCUCCCGGCACGUGUCCUGCUUCAUCGUUCAACGUUGCAGGCCCAGUGAGUUAAGGUUAGUUUCAGCUAUGUCAUUCAUCUGCGCAUCACUGUUUACCUGUGCAGUUAUUAUUAAUAUUACUGAGCCUGUUUGUGGCCACAAUCCACGCCAUUCUCUUUCGACCUCUGCAACACUAAUAGCACACAUGCUUGAGCUAGCUAGCAUAACUGGAUAUGUUUUGAAGGAGAGGGGUUUUGCGUCUGUAUAGGUAAAAGUUCGAUCUUAUUCCAGUUAGUUCUGUAUCCAGACAUGGUACCAAACAAAUUAAUCAAGUAGAACAGGAAUAUUAGAGUGGGGUUUAGGUACAUAAAGGUUAUUGUUAUAUACUUAAAGAGACGUUUAGUGUUUUUAGUAUUUUAGCCAUGUGUUGCUACAUGAGAUCUUAUGGCUUGAGCUAGCAGCAUGAUGGCCAGAGAUAGACAAAGAGGUGAAAGUGUAAAACUCUGCCUCAUCCAUCAAUGGAGUUUAAAUUGCUGUGACAGUGAUUGAUUGAUAGAUUGGUGAGUAUUUGAGUGCAAUAAUUAUGGUAUAGAAGUUGGAUCCAUAUUAUAAAUCUGCCUGCAAUCUUACAUCAUUGUAGGACAACAAAUAAGCAUUUAUUCAUGCUAGGGCGGACAUGUGCGAAUCUCUUAAAAGCAUAAACCCUCGCAAGGCUCCUGUUCUGGACAAUAUCCCUGGCCUCAAGGUACGUGCUGACCAACUGGCUGAUAGUCCCCAAGUUUCAAGGAGACCACCACUGUCCCUGUCCCCCAAGAAAAGUACUCUGCCCAAACAUCUCCUGCCCUAGAGCACUAACAUCCCUAGUCAUGACGCGCUUCAGCGGUAAGUCUAAGGACAUAUCACCACCUCCCUACCCUCAUCUUUAGAUCCACUACAAUUUUCUUGGAGACCAAACUUGCCCUCCACUCUGCCGCCUCUCAUCUGGACCGAAGGAAUACAUAUGUGAGAAUGCUGUUUGUUGGUCGUAGUUCAGCAUUCAACUCAAUUGUGCCCCACAAGCUCGUGGUGAAGCUCAGGGAUCUGGGCCUCCACACCGGCCAGUGUCCGCGGACCUCAGGUCGUUCGGAUGGGCAGCUCCACCUAAUCCACACUGACUCUCAGCAUGGGCGUCCCACAAGGCUGUGUGCUCAGUCCCCUCCGGUACUCCCUGUUCAAGCAUGACUCCGGGCCCCCGCACUCCUCUGACAUCACUGAGAAGUUCGCAGACGACACCACUGUCAUUGGCCUGAUCUCCGAUACUGAUGAGACUGCCUAAAGAGAGGCAAUCAGAAUCUUGUCAUCAUUGUGUCAGGAUGACGACCUCCAGCUUAACGUCAGCAGAACGAAGGAGCUGAUUGUGGACUACAGGACAGGAGGAAACGGGGGAAGCCAUGCCCCUAUCCACAUCAAUAGGCCUGCAGAGGAGAGAGUCUGCAGCAUCAGGGUCCUCCGGGUCAGAGUCAGCGACAUUCUGUCCUGGUCUCUCUAUUCCAACAUCGUUAUCAAGGAGGCAAGGAAACGUCUCUUCUUCCUAAGCCGACUAAAGAGGUGGACUCCACGAGGAGUGGACUCCAGGAUACUCACCAACAUCUACAGGUGCAUCACUGAGAGUAUCCUGACGGGCUGUAUCUCCACCUCCACAGUAUCCUGACUGGCUGUAUCACCGCCUCCACAGUAUCCUGACAGGCUGUAUCACCGCCUCCACAGUAUCCUGACUGGCUGUAUCACUGCCUACACAGUAUCCUGACUGGCUGUAUCACAGCCUCGUAUGGCAGCUGCACUGUCCUUGACCAAAUGGCUCCAUAGAGGGUGGUCAAGAUGAUUCACCUGGAGGGACCGGCCAUCUCUGCAGGACUUGUAUAGGUAUACACACAGGUGCAGGAAGAAGGCCCUACGCUUCAUCAGGGACCCAUGUCAUCAGGGACCCAUGUCAUCAGGGACCCAUGUCAUCAGGGACGGAUGUCAUUAGGGACCCAUGUCAUCAGAGACCCAUGUCAUCAGGGACGGAUGUCAUUAGAGACCCAUGUCAUCAGGGACCCAUGUCAUCAUGGACCCAUGUCAUUAGUGACCCAUGUCAUUAGGGACUCAUGUCAUCAGGGACCCAUGUCAUUAGGGACACAUGUCAUCAGGGACCCAUGUCAUUAGGGACCCAUGUCAUCAGGGACCCAUGUCAUCAGGGACCCAUGUCACCCCAACAUGAACUUUCUCCCUGUUUUGCUCUGGCAGGAGAUACAGGACCAUCCUGUCCACAACCAACAGGUCCCAGGAAAGCUUCUUCCCCCAGGCCUUAAGACUGUUGAAUCUUUGAACACAUUUAAUAAUGUACUAUUGCAAUAGAGGAAAUAACAUUACCAGAUGAAUGCUGGAACCUACCUAACGCUGCUUAGAAGAGUGACACAAUGAACACUUAUCAAUUUUAUUAUGUACUAAAUUUCUUCUUCUAUAUUGUUCUUAUUCUAUUUUUUAUUCUAUUAUAUUACUUAUGCCAGAAAUGUUGAGGGUGUUUUUGGAAAACAAGCAUUUCAUUAACAACAAUGCUGUUGCUAUUGUGUAGUGACAAAUAUACUUGAAUUUAUACACUCUGUGUAGACUACAUUUAGGUUAUCAAUUAUAAGAUCUGUAGCAGCAUUUCUCUUUCCUGGGGGCACCAAAGGCUUGCUUAGUAGUUUGCAUUUCACUGAUAUUCUGUUGAUGCUAAUUUGAUAUAAAAUCCUUUAGGUACCGUAUUUCUCUUGUGUUCUGGCUCUGCCUAUUUGGCCUUGCAUUAGGGAGGGAAUGAGUAAGUAAGGGAGUGAGUGAGGGAAUGAAUGAAUGAGUAAGUGCAUAUGUGACUGCAUAAUUGGAUAAGUAAGUUAAUUAGUAAGUGAUUGAGUAAGUGAAUAAAUUAGCAGGUGAGUGAGUAAAUGAAUGAGUUAAAGGUUGUUGGAAAUAUAAAAAUUGGUGUAAGCAUUGCGAUGAUGUCUCAUGCAGCUUGACAUUAAGUUUUUUCAGUUUAUUGAAAAAAUACAUUCCCUUUUUCUACCUUCAGGCAAUGCUCAAACCCUACAUACAUUUUCUAGCUUUUAGUUCCCAUUUGGUCUUUUGGCUGAACCACCCAACAGGGGGUCAGAUCUGCCAUUCAAUAGCCCUUUGCAGCCCAGAAGUGUAGCUGUCCCCAUACAGUGCCUUGUUGCAACUUACACAAUAAAUGUAUGUUGCUAAUACUAAACAUUGAUUUACUCUAAUCUUUUUUCUGUUCAUUACAUGGAAUGUUAAACGAGGACGUGUAACUGCAUUCUAGCAAUCUUUGUAAUAAAGCAAAUUCAUCGUGGUCAAUAUUUGUUUUUUAAAAGGAAAUUAUUUACAAUUAACUCAGAACUUUCACUUUUACUUUGUUACACAAACAGUUUUCACUUUGCCUUGAGUAAAUUGUCAUUAAAUUAAUAGUAUUUCCAUACUCUUUCCAUUUCUGGAAGUAUGUGGGUCUGUCCAAAAUAGGGCACUGCUUAUCCCUGGAGUUAAAUGGUGCCCUUUCAGGCUCUAUUCAAAAGUAAUGCACUCUGUUGAAAGGAACAAGGUGCCAAUUCUAUGUGCUGACAGGAGGACGAUGUACAAAAUCAAACACUCUGAGUUGAAAGUAAGAAGGAAACUAGAUACAUCUCCAUUGGCAGCAUUACUCUCCACAAACCUCAAAUGAUAAAUGUGUUAUGCAUGUGUCAUUGAGGGCGUAGUGACCUGAGGAACAGUGGAGCAGAGGAAGAGACAGGGAUAAGAAACACUGUGACUAUGUCUUAAAUGGCACCCUAUUUCCUAGGUAAUGCGCUAAUUAAGAGUUGGAGCUAACUGUACCAGUCAAAAGUUUAGACACACCACUCUAAUGAGGGGUAACUAUGUCGAAACGUUUGACUAGUACUGGAUAUGGUCCCUGGUCAAAUGCUGUUCACUAUACAUGGAAUAGGGUACCAUUUGGGAAACAUCCUUAACCCUGUAUUUUGUUUUAUUAUGUUUCCAAUUAUUGAUACGAUCAGAGCCAGAGAUAGAAUACUGCUGCUUCGUGAGAAUGGUCUACAGAGGAAUGCUGAGAAUGACAUUAAUUAUUUAUUUAAAAUGUUGAUGACAGGAUUAAACGCCUUCAGAUGAGAAACAGAGAGAGAUAGAAAUCUAGUUUUCUAGGAAUUCAUGCCAGCAGGGCUGAUGGAGAGACAGAGAGACAGAGAGACUGAGACGGAGACUUAGAAACUGAGAUAGAGACAGAUACAUGUGAACUGAGAAAGACGAAGAAAGACAGAGACAGAGAGAUACUGAAACAGAUGGAGAGGAGUGAAACUGACCAACAAAGACACUGACAGAAACUGACCAAGACAAAAGGACUGACAGAGACUGAAAAAGACAGAGAGACUGACAGAGACUGAACAAGACAUAGAGACUGACAGAGACUGACCAAGACAAAGAUGCCAGUAUAUAGGGAAUAGGGUGUUACAAUGUAGGGAGUAGGUUGUCACUAUAUAGGGUGUUACAAUGUAGGGAGUAGGUUGUCACUAUAUAGGGAGUUACAAUAUAGGGAGUAGGUUGUCACUAUAUAGGGAGUUACAAUGUAGGGAGUAGGUUGUCACUAUAUAGGGAGUAGGGUGUCAGUAUAUAGGGGGUAGCAUGCCAGUAAAUAGGGAGUAGGGUGUCAGUAUAUAGGGAGUAGGGUAUUAGUAUAUAGGUAGUAGGGUGCCACUGUAUAGGGAGUAACAUGCCAGUAAAUAGGGCGUAGGGUGUCACUAUAUAGGGCGUAGGGUGUCACUAUAUAGGGAGUAGGGUGUUAUUAUAUAGGGAGUAGGGUGUCACUAUAUAGGGCGUAGGGUGUCACUAUAUAGGGAGUAGGGUGUUACUAUAUAGGGCGUAGGGUGUCACUAUAUAGGGAGUAGGGUGUCACUAUAUAGGGUGUAGGGUGUCACUAUAUAGGGAGUAGGGUGUUACUAUAUAGGGAGUAGGGUGUUACUAUAUAGGGAGUAGGGUGUCACUGUAUAGGGCGUAGGGUGUCACUAUAUAGGGAGUAGGGUGUCACUAUAUAGGGCGUAGGGUGUCACUAUAUAGGGAGUAGGGUGUCACUAUAUAGGGAGUAGGGUGUUACUAUAUAGGGAGUAGGGUGUCACUAUAUAGGGAGUAGGGUGUCACUAUAUAGGGAGUAGGGUGUUACUAUAUAGGGCGUAGGGUGUCACUAUAUAGGGAGUAGGGUGUCACUGUAUAGGGCGUAGGGUGUCACUAUAUAGGGAGUAGGGUGUCACUAUAUAGGGAGUAGGGUGUCACUGUAUAGGGCGUAGGGUGUCACUAUAUAAGGAGGAGGGUGUCACUAUAUAAGGAGUAGGGUGUCACUGUAUAGGGCGUAGGGUGUCACUAUAUAAGGAGGAGGGUGCUACUAUAUAGGUAGUAGGGUGCUACUAUAUAGGUAGUAGGGUGCUACUAUAUAGGUAGUAGGGUGCUACUAUAUAGGUAGUAGGGUGCUACUAUAUAGGGUGCCAUUAUAUAGGGUGCCAGACUAGUAAUCCCAAGAGAAGCUAGACCAGGCAGCAUCUAAUCUAGAGACUGUAUAUGUAUCCACAGCUGCACAGACACUAACAAACAGGACACCCACCCAUGCAGUGUCUAGGAUAAGAACCCUUGGCACCUACAUGACAACGAGCUGGACCAUAUCACGUCACACAAAACAUUAAACACACCAGCCAACAGCAACAGCAACAUUUCUAAACUAGAGACUACCAUGGACACACUCUGCUAUGCCUUAGCACUAUGCACUAUAGACAGACAGACCGAUUGAACGUAAGGUUUACCUCUGUCUGAAAAUGUCAUGCACGCAAAAAAAAACUCAGACGAAAAGAAAACGAGAAGAAUAUGCCAAGUAAUAAGAAAACUAAUCUUAGCAGCAGACAUUUUCUUGCUAUUCUGGGGGUGUUUCCUUACGCUGUGCUUGUUUUUCAUAAUGCAGUUUCAACACUUUUUCUGCUUCUCUGGUGGAAAUCACACAAUGGUCAAUACUGAUUGCUUUAUUUUUUCAGUGUUGUACCCCCUCUCGCGUUUGUUAUUGCAGAACAGGAGGGUAUGCAGGACCUGGGAUGGGGGGUUCGGACUGUGGGUGCUGCUGAAACGGCACAAUCUCUCCAUUUCUGUCUAAUAAUGUGAAAACAUGUUAAGGGUUUGUGUGUGUCUGCGUGUGUGUGUUUGUGUGUGUACCAGCUCACCAGACCUGUCCCAGGUAUGUGGACGGUGAGUGGACCCCCAGUACAGAUUCAGACACACAGGUAUGCUGCGCUGUCUGCCACUUCCUGUGGUGUAUCUGUGCAUUGGUGUGUGAUGACGUGCUGAGAGGGCUGGCGGCAUAGACACGGAACACUGGAGAUACCUUCUGUGUUCCAGAACUCAGCAGGAUCCACAACCCAGUAAAACAAUACCUCUGUGGCCUAGCCACUCAAGGCUCUCUCUCUCUCUCUCUCUCUCAUUUUCUUUAUCUUACACGCACGCACGCACACACACACACACACACAGACACACACGCGCACAUCCACACAUAUAUAAACAAAUAACUGUGUUUAAGUGCGUUGAGGAAUGAAUCCACCUACACACCUGCCCAAAAGAAUGUAGGCUUGGGCAGUGUCUUUCCAGUGUGGGGGGCACCUCCCAUGGAGCACUGUGCCGCGGAGCCAUGGGGAAGUGGCUAUUCCUGUGGUGUAGGGGUUAGGGUUCUGUCCCAAAGAGCACCCUAUUCUUAUUAUAGGGCCCUUUUUUGGCCAGAGGGUGUUGGGCAGGGUUAAGGGUAUAAUGUAUACAAGGUUGCUAUUUAGGAGGUACCAGGGAUAUGGAGUAAAGGAGCCGUUGGUUAAACUGGCCAUCAGGAAAACCACUGGCACAGCACUCUGAGCCAAAUGGAACUAAUUCUGACCAUAUCGUGCUGCAUAUGGGAAAACCUCUAAGCCCUAGUGUUCCAGCCCGGAUUAAGCAUGGUCCUGGACUUCAAAAGCACUUUCAAUGGAGAAUCUUAAUUUAGCAUACUUAUAAACCCAGGACUGAAGCUAUAUGAAUGGUAUUGAAACUGGUCAUAUGUGGCUCCUAAAAUUCAGAUAUAAAGAUAAUUUUUAAUACAUCAAAUAUAAUAAGAAUAUGGGACAGGUCUACCUG
ensembl:lncRNA